rnacentral:tRNA from 1 species
GCCUGGGUGGCUCAGUCGGUUGAGCGUCCGACUUGGGCUCAGGUCAUGAUCUCCCAGUUUGUGAGUUCGAGCCCCAUGUCAGGCU